ACUAAUUGGUGGAACCAUGCGAGU
rnacentral:siRNA from 1 species